ACGCGUGGAACCUUACCAGGUCUUGACAUCCCAUUGACCGCUAUGGAGACAUAGCUUUCCCUUUUAGGGACAGUGGUGACAGGUGGUGCAUGGUUGUCGUCAGCUCGUGUCGUGAGAUGUUGGGUUAAGUCCCGCAACGAGCGCAACCCUUGUUCUUAGUUGCCAUCAUUUAGUUGGGCACUCUAAGGAGACUGCCGGUGACAAACCGGAGGAAGGUGGGGAUGACGUCAAAUCAUCAUGCCCCUUAUGACCUGGGCUACACACGUGCUACAAUGGACGGUACAAACGGUUGCCAACCCGCGAGGGGGAGCUAAUCCGAUAAAACCGUUCUCAGUUCGGAUUGUAGGCUGCAACUCGCCUACAUGAAGCCGGAAUCGCUAGUAAUCGCGGAUCAGCAUGCCGCGGUGAAUACGUUCCCGGGCCUUGCACUCACCGCCCGU
rnacentral:rRNA from 1 species